UUUUCGAUCUGUGAUAGCUUGAUCUGAUCUAUGAAAUUCCUUUUCUUUAUUUUUUUUUUUGUUGACAUAAUCUUUUCUUAUUGCAACUCAUAAACCACUUUAAAUAUUUCUAAAUCAUAAAAACUCUACCAAAAUCAGAACUAGAAUUAAUCUAUAGAAAGUGGAAUCAGAGCCUAACAGCAGCAUAAAAAUUUGUUCUAUACCCUUAUUUUAUAAAAAAAACAAUUUCUGUACUCUUCUGAUGAUGAUGAACUCCACUAGUAAGCUCAUUCGAGAAAAUCACUCUUCUCAAUCUUCACCAUCAAUCGGAGCUUCAUUCACAAGCCAAAAAGGAGUGGAAUGUCAGCUCACUACUUAGGCUAAGUCAAGGUAGAGGUUCAGGAGUCAAUGAUUCAGCUCAUGUAACUGCAACAAGAUAGUUGGCGAACCAGAAUCAUGAUCGUCCAAGCGCAAUUGCACAGUCAUGAAAUUGCAAGUCUUGCAUUUCUUGCCUCUAAUCCCUCUUUAAAUGUCUUGUCCUUCCUGUGUUUAAUUUGAAAUUUUACUUAGCUCAAGUAAUUCAUCUGAUUGAGAUCACUUUUUUUUCGCAAAACGUAAACAACGGUCCAUCUACAUCAUCUGGCUUGCCAGAAUCCUCUAAAGAAAAUGCAUCAAAAGCAGAAAAGCACUUAGGAAGUUCACACAUUGCUCGCGUUUUCGGUAGUAAUUCUUGUACUUUAAGCAGUUGGAUUCCUUCGCUAUGCCGAAUUUCUUCAGCCAAAUAAUAUGUAAGAAAAUCAGUUAUUUACCUAACUUUGGUAUGAUAGAUAGUCAAGGACCAAAAUGAAGCAGUAACUAGCUAAACUGAAAGAUAGUCAAAUGUAUUAUGCAUCUUGUAAUUCUUGUGCUAACUAUCUAUGUGUGGCAUAUUUAGAUAAUUUUCAGAGAUUUCAAAUCUUCAAAUAUCCUUCUGGAUGAGGAGUGGAAUGCAAAGCUAUCUGACUUUGG